rnacentral:sRNA from 1 species
CGCAAUGCUUUAUUAGCUUGACAGGCUUC